GGAUGUGAGAGCAAUCUGGCUGCAAGAUCUGUCACCCCAUUGAUUGCCAGGGGUUGAUUCUGCUGAUCUGGCUGGCUAGGGAGGUGUUCUCUUCCUUCCUUAACACUCCAUGUGCAUCCCUCCCAAAGCUGCGCACUGUUGAAGAGGACGACUACCCUCAAUUAAGAAGGACCAUUUCCUCCAACAAGAGCAUACGAGUAGCUGCUCUCCCCUGCUGGAACCUCCAAAUAAGCCCUCUAGGAAUUCCCUUUCAUGCCACAUUUGGGCAUUUGAGUGUAAGAUAUUAUAUGCAUAUUUGGAGUCUGUGUCAAUAUCU
ensembl:misc_RNA 7SK 7SK RNA